UUAGGAAUCACCUAGGAUCUUGUUAAAUUUCAGAUUCUGAUUCCGCAGAUCAGACUGAGAACAAAGCCUGUGUGUUUUUAACAAGUCCUCAGGUAAUGCUAAU
rnacentral:miRNA from 1 species